GCUGGGCAUGGUGGCACAUGCCCGUAAUCCCAGUGGCUUAGGAGGCUGAGGCAGGAGGAUCACAGGUUCCAGGUCAGUCCCAGCAAAUUAGUGAGGCCCUAAGCCUCGU
rnacentral:sRNA from 1 species